CUACGGAGGGGGUUAGCGUUGUUCGGAAUUACUGGGCGUAAAGCGCACGUAGGCGGACUGGAAAGUUGGGGGUGAAAUCCCGGGGCUCAACCCCGGAACUGCCUCCAAAACUUCCAAUCUAGAGAUCGAGAGAGGUGAGUGGAAUUCCAAGUGUGGAGGUGAAAGUCGUAGAUAUUUGGAGGAACACCAGUGGCGAAGGCGGCUCACUGGCUCGAUACUGACGCUGAGGUGCGAAAGCGUGGGGAGCGAACAGGAUUAGAAACCCUAGUAGUCC
rnacentral:rRNA from 1 species